CGAACGCUGGCGGCGUGCUUAACACAUGCAAGUCGAGCGAUGAAGCACCUUCGGGUGUGAAUUAGCGGCGAACGGGUGAGGAACACGUGAGAAAUCUGCCUUCAACACUGGGAUAACUCCGGGAAACCGGGGCUAAUACCGGAUAUGAAACCUGCGGGCAUCCGCGGGUUUGGAAAGUUUUUCGGUUGAAGAUGAUCUCGCGGCCUAUCAGCUUGUUGGUGAGGUAAUGGCUCACCAAGGCGACGACGGGUAGCCGGCCUGAGAGGGCGACCGGCCACACUGGGACUGAGACACGGCCCAGACUCCUACGGGAGGCAGCAGUGGGGAAUAUUGGGCAAUGGAGGAAACUCUGACCCAGCGACGCCGCGUGCGGGAUGAAGGCCUUCGGGUUGUAAACCGCUUUCAGCAGGGAAGAAGCGAAAGUGACGGUACCUGCAGAAGAAGCACCGGCUAACUAUGUGCCAGCAGCCGCGGUAAUACAUAGGGUGCAAGCGUUGUCCGGAAUUAUUGGGCGUAAAGAGCUCGUAGGUGGUUCGUCACGUCGGAUGUGAAACUCUGGGGCUUAACCCCAGACCUGCAUUCGAUACGGGCGAGCUUGAGUAUGGUAGGGGAGUCUGGAAUUCCUGGUGUAGCGGUGGAAUGCGC
rnacentral:rRNA from 1 species